CGUAAUCCGUUUAACCAUUGUUU
rnacentral:siRNA from 1 species